GGAACUUGUAAAUGCUUUUUAAUUAGCACAAUAUGUAAGGGAGCAGACUGAUGACCAGUUUGGUAGCUCGUGCACGAUGUCGAUGUCGCUGUAUGGUCUGACGUUACCGUUUUCUCUGAUUUUUGUCUUGACUUUCCAAAUUCCACGAAGAAUGUUCGUGUCUGUCGAGAUGGUAAGUGGGUGCAAAAUUCUUAAGUCUUAUAGCCUUACUGAGGUCACCUCAAGCUCCACUCUGAAGGAUAUUUUUGAGAGUUUUAAGGGGAUCGAAGCGUCAUCUGCAACAUCAGCCGACAUUUAAAGGAAAAAAAAGUAGUGCCGAGUGUAGUCGCACGUAGUAGUCGCGAACAUAAGUCGCUGAAUAACAACUAGUCAACGAUUGUCAUGACUACCUAUACCAUUUGGUAUUGGUGACUAGGUGACUAGGUGCACUAGUCUCCCAAGCCUAGCGCAUAGCACCUGAGGCGAAUCCAAGAAGGCUAUGCGCCCCGCAAGAUGCGCAUAGCACCCUCGGCUUCGCCUCAGGUGCAUAUCCCACAUCACAGCAGUCAACAAUUGUUUUGUUAUCUUGUCUUGUUGCAAUACUGCCCAACACCCCUAAAUAUAGGGGCCAACCGGGCCGGGUUCGAUGCGCUUGAUGAAAUAGCGGAGAGAGUGUUGAGUUAUUUGCUGGCUUAGGUAGUUGUGUACUGCUUCUUUGAAGUUAUUCUUGGAUUGUAGUGAUGGUUUCUGGAAAAGCGUUCCAAUUGACGAUCGUGCGGGCGAUGAAGGCAAAUUUAUAACAGUUUUCAUUGGUAGUGAUGGGUAUGAAGCUGUUGGAAGCUGGUGAUGUGUGUCUUACAUGUACAUUGUACAUGUAGAUUCCUUUCGACCAGACGCAGGAUGUUUUGCACUGGUACGGCGAGGCGACCUGCGAUCGCUUGUUGGAAGUUUGUGAGACGACAUACUUUUCUUCUCUGUUGUAGAUCUUCCCAGUUUAAGUCCUUUUCCAUUGCUGUGACACUACUUUUACGUCCAUAGUCCCCUGUGACGAAUCUAGCGGCCCUGUUUUGAAUUGCUUCCAGUUGGUCUAUGAGCUUUUUGGUAUGGGGUGCCAUACUGAGGAACAGCAGUCCAGUAUUGGUCUGACCAGGGUUUUAUAUGAGAUUUCUUUGAUAUGUAGCCCGUGAUUCUGUGGAAUGGCGCCCUCUGGGGUUGCGCGGCAAAAGUGUGCUUGUGCAUUGUUCGCCAUUUUGUCUGCGCGUUUUUCAACGUGUUCUCUGAAAAGUACGAGAGAUUUGUUCGAAAAAGUGCUUUAAGAGUGACUUAUUCAGUCUGUGGCUCUCAGAAUACGAGGAGGAAGUUCUCCUAAGUCAUAAGACCUGGGGUAGCAGUGUCCGUGUCCCUAUCAGCAGAGACGAGCUGAGAGGCUGUUGUCGACGGCGGCCAACCCGAGUACUGGCUUCACACUGUGCGGCGAGUUCAGCAGACACUGAGUUACCAUGGUUACAGGUCAGCAUUAGAUGACUGUCGUGUGAUUGUGGAUGAAGAGGAUUCAUCGAUUGUCUCCAGCCUGUCCAGAGCUACGGUGGAGUGAGACCAAAAUUGACACCCGUCAACUGAACUCUCAGAAGUUCCACGAACUAUUGGGAUCGACUCAGUCUUGAACUGAGGACUGCCAGACGUAACCGGUCCCGAACAGUUACUUUAAUAUUAGUGUACACACACACCGAGUGAGUUCCCGGGAACAAACAACUACAUGUACAUGUAUAGGGCCUGGUCGACCAUAUCCUGUUUUUUUUUGGAAACAUUGUAUUGCAUUUUUAUUGUACUGUUGUUGUGAGAGUUGUUCUAAGAAAUAACUAAGAAUAAAGAUUGAUUGUUUGAGAUCAUUCCAUA